rnacentral:rRNA from 1 species
CGGGUGAUUAAUGUAUGGGGAUCUGCCCGAUAGAGGGGGAUAACUACUGGAAACGGUAGCUAAUACCGCAUAAUCUCUCAGGAGCAAAGCAGGGGAACUUCGGCCCUUGCGCUAUCGGAUGAACCCAUAUGGGAUUAGCUAGUAGGUGAGGUAAUGGCUCACCUAGGCGACGAUCCCUAACUGGUCUGAAAGGAUGAUCAGCCACUCUGGGACUGAAACACGGCCCACACUCCUACGGGAGGCACCAGUGGGGAAUAUUGCACAAUGGGCCCAAGCCUGAUGCAGCCAUGCCGCGUGUAUGAAGAAGGCCCUAGGGUUGAAUAAAACUUU